GCGAAUGGCUCAUUAAAUCAGCUAUGGUUUAUUGGAUCGUACCCGUUAAAUGGAUAACUGUAAUAACUCUAGAGCUAAUACAUGCCUCGAUGCCCUGACCCCUUGCGGGAAUGGGUGCACUUAUUAGAUCAGAAGCCAACCGUGUAUGCCGAAAGGUGUGCACGUCGACUUUCUGGUGACUCUGGAUAAUUGUUACAGAUCGCAGUCGGCCUUGAGUCGGCGACGGGUCCUUCAAAUGUCUGCCCUAUCAACUGUCGAUGGUAGGUGACCUGCCUACUAUGGUGAUAACGGGUAACGGGGAAUCAGGGUUCGAUUCCGGAGAGGGAGCCUGAGAAACGGCUACCACUUCCAAGGGAGGCAGCAGGCGCGCAAAUUACCCACUCCCAGUACGGGGAGGUGGUGACGAAAAAUACCGAUGCGGGACUCAUCAAAGAGGCUCCGUAAUCGGAAUGAAUGAACUCUAAAUCCUUUCACGAGGAUCAAUUGGAGGGCAAGUCUGGUGCCAGCAGCCGCGGUAACUCCAGCUCCAAUAGCGUAUAUUAAAGUUGCUGCAGUUAAAAAGCUCAUAGUUGGAUCUCGGUAUCACUGGGGCCUGUGGGUGGUGCCUUGGCUUGGCGGCGAUAACAUCAAUGCCUCGCUCUGGUACCCGAUGCAAUAGUCCUGGUGUAACCUUUCAGCCAUGUCUGUGGUGAAAUACCCGCAGGUGUAGGCUAGUGUCAGGCGGUGCCUUGCGCAAGUGAGGCUCGUCGGCUAGUUUGCAUGCCUUUGGAUGCUUUUCAUUAGGUGUCUGAGGCGGAUGGCACGUUUACUUUGAACAAAUUUGAGUGCUCAAACCAGGCCGAUGUUGCCUGAAAAGUUUUGCAUGGAAUAAUGGAAUAGGACUUCGGUUCUAUUUCGUUGGUUUUCGGAUCCGAAGUAAUGAUCAAAAGAGACAGGCGGGGACGUUUGUAUGGCUGCGCUAGAGGUGAAAUUCAUGGACCGUAGCCAGACAAACUAAAGCGAAAGCAUUCGUCAAGCAUGUUUUCAUUGGCCAUGAGCGAAAGUCAGAGGCUCGAAGACGAUCAGAUACCGUCCUAGUUCUGACCAUAAACGAUGCCAACUGACGAUCCGUGGUGGUAGUCUAUCAACCUUCCCCACGGGCAGUCCCCGGGAAACCAUUAAGUCUUUGGGUUCCGGGGGAAGUAUGGUUGCAAAGCUGAAACUUAAAGGAAUUGACGGAAGGGCACCACCAGGAAUGGAGCCUGCGGCUUAAUUUGACUCAACACGGGAAAACUCACCCGGCCCGGACACUGUGAGGAUUGACAGAUUGAUAGCUCUUUCUUGAUUCAGUGGUUGGUGGUGCAUGGCCGUUCUUAGUUGGUGGAGCGAUUUGUCUGGUUAAUUCCGAUAACGAACGAGACUCCAGCCUGCUAAUUAGGGUGCCUGUCCUCUGUUCCUAUGAAGGCGGCGUCGGACAAGGCUACCUCCGCUCGCCUGAAUUGCGGGUCUACGCAAGUGGGUCUGCAAGGAUGGCUGGGGGUGGCUGGCUCUGCGUUAGCUUUCGGGUACGGCGCGGGCACUCACUUCUUAGAGGGACAAACGGUUCGAAAGCCGUACGAAAUUGAGCAAUAACAGGUCUGUGAUGCCCUUAGAUGUCCGGGGCCGCACGCGCGCUACAAUGACGGUGCCAACGAGUCUGACCUUCUGGCCCGAAAGGGUUGGGCAAACUGGUCAAUCGCCGUCAUGACAGGGAUCGGGGCUUGGAAUUGUUCCCCGUGAACGAGGAAUUCCUAGUAAGUGCAAGUCAUAAGCUUGUGCUGAUUACGUCCCUGCCCUUUGUACACACCGCCCGUCGCUACUACCGAUUGAAUGGUUUAGUAAGGUCCUUGGAUCGGCGCCAUUGUGGCGGCUGCCGAAAGGUGGUCACCCGACGUGUGCUGAGAAGACGACCAAACUUGAUCAUUUAGAGGAAGUAAAAGUCGUAACAAG
rnacentral:rRNA from 2 species